GAUGAACGCUGGCGGCGUGCCUAAUACAUGCAAGUCGAGCGAACGGACGAGAAGCUUGCUUCUCUGAUGUUAGCGGCGGACGGGUGAGUAACACGUGGAUAACCUACCUAUAAGACUGGGAUAACUUCGGGAAACCGGAGCUAAUACCGGAUAAUAUUUUGAACCGCAUGGUUCAAAAGUGAAAGACGGUCUUGCUGUCUCUUAUAGAUGGAUCCGCGCUGCAUUAGCUAGUUGGUAAGGUAACGGCUUACCAAGGCAACGAUGCAUAGCCGACCUGGGAGGGUGAUCGGCCACACUGGAACUGAGACACGGUCCAGACUCCUACGGGAGGCAGCAGUAGGGAAUCGUCCGCAAUGGGCGGAAGCCUGACGGAGCAACGCCGCGUGAGUGAUGAAGGUCUUCGGAUCGUAAUACUCUGUUAUUAGGGAAGAACAUAUGUGUAAGGAACUGUGCACAACGUGACGGUACCUAAUCAGAAAGCCACGGCUAACUACGUG
rnacentral:rRNA from 1 species